UUCCUUCGCGUCAUGCCGGCCGCUCCGUUGUGUCGUUCCCCGUCGGGCCGGCCACCCCGCUAGCUGCUCCCUGUCAGAUCGAUCUGCUCGCGGUCGUGUCUUCUUGCCAAGGAAAAUCUCAAAUCAAACGAUAAUGUUAUUUCUCGGUUACCACUACUACAUGGUAAAACAAAGAGAGUCCAAUGCGGUGGACCUGUUGGAGCACGCUUGUCUAUGCAACAUGAUAUGUCUGAGGAUAAUAUUUUACUUCUUUCACGUGAACAGGAUGGCGAGCAUGAUAAUGUCAAUGAAACAAGACUGUUUUAUUUAUUAUGUGCUUGAGGUGAGGAAACGACUAAUCAGACAGGCAAAUGAUCUAUUGCAAGAUUAGACCAACAGGAGACUACCUAAAAAAGAAGUUGUACUUCACUGAAGGUUGGUUCCAAAAUAUUCAGAGUACCGAUCCUGCAACUAAGCCAGCUGGUACAGAGUUAGGUGCUGAGUUUGCGCGUAUGGACAUAGAUGAACUUAUUCUGGAUAACUCUGGAUUCGGUCAGGAAAGUAUGUGAUUGCGAGAUAAUUGAUUCAUAAGAAGCAUGAUUGAGUUGCAGCCGAAGUCUCCGGUAGGAUCAAGAAUCAAAAAAAAAUUGAAGCAUCUUCUUAGCAGUAAUUAGUUUACAUUUAUAUAUUGGAGAAUGUAAUAUUAUUCACAAGAUAUUUUUAUUUCGUCGAACGAUGCAAACACUAUGGUGUAAUAUUCUUCACUAUUGUAUUUUCUCUAGUCCUAUGUGAUGUUCUUGCACAAA